CCUACGGGAGGCAGCAGUGAGGAAUAUUGGUCAAUGGGAGAGAUCCUGAACCAGCCAAGCCGCGUGAGGGAAGACGGCCCUAUGGGUUGUAAACCUCUUUUGUCGGGGAGCAAAGGACGCCACGUGUGGUGUUUUGCGAGUACCCGAAGAAAAAGCAUCGGCUAACUCCGUGCCAGCAGCCGCGGUAAUACGGAGGAUGCGAGCGUUAUCCGGAUUUAUUGGGUUUAAAGGGUGCGCAGGCGGAAUGUCAAGUCAGCGGUAAAAUUUCGGGGCUCAACCCCGUCGUGCCGUUGAAACUGGCGUUU
rnacentral:rRNA from 1 species